UGUGAUAAAUGAUUUUCUUGUAAUAUGUUAGUUUUUAUGUGGAAUGGUCUAAUUUUUCUAGGGUUUGAUUCGGCUUUAAGAUUUAGUUUUAUUGGGAGCCUAUUUGAUAAAUUAAACGUUCAUGGUCAAAUAUGUGAUACAAAAUAGAUAGUUGGCAUUACAUAUAACUUUUAAAGACUUCGAGAUAUACUGCAUAACUUUAAUAUAUAUUCAAUUUUACUAUUCGACGUGGAGUAUUAACAUGAAGGGAAGGUAGUUAGUUUGGUUUUUAUAAAAAAAAAAGCCAAUCUUUGGCUCUUAAAAGUCAGAAGCAAAAUAAACAAGUAAAGGACAUUGAGACAGGCAGAGACGUGGGUGCAGACAGAAGAAAGAAAGGUGUCGUGCCAGUAACUAAGGUUCUAAAUAUAGACCGAAGAGACAAAAAUGAUACCAACCAACAAAAAGUCCCGUAAUUAUAGAGAAGAAGGGAUUAUAUAAGAAGAAGACGAUAACAAAAACACCAACGAGGAACACAGAAAGAGAAACUCAUCAAGGUACAUGUCUCCUCCAUUCAUUCUUAUGCAACUUUCAUCGCUUAUGUAAAAAUAUGCUGGUUCUUCUAUUAGAUUGGAUACAAAAGAAACGCUUGAAUAUGACGAUCAUGUGAGGAUUAUAUAUGGCCUUUGUUUAGUUUUUGUAUUGAUUGAGAAUGGUGUGCAUGUCUUGGUUGUAGAUAAUGGCAAACAUUAGAGUACAAAAAGGUCCAGAAUCUCCGAGGACCGAGGUCGGAGAGAUAGACACAAGAGCCCCUUUUCAGUCGGUGAAAGCUGCGGUGAGCUUGUUUGGUGAAGUAGUCUCAAGACAAAGAAGUACUCCAAGAAGGUCUCGUCUCUCCUCUGAGAGCGUUUGCGACAAAGAAACACAGCUAAUGCUAGCACACAAGCAAUUCCUCAAGAUCAAACAAAAGCUAGACAACGCUGAGAUCACAAGAUCACGUGCUCUCUCCGAUCUCUCAAACGCUAAGAAGACAAUGGAGGAGCUUACCAACAAACUCGAAGCUGUUAACAAGUCUAAGCAAACCGCUAUUGACACCAAAGAAACCGUCCAACAGCGAGAAGAACAGCUAGAACACGACAAGUCACACGGCUCUCCUCCUCACCACCACGAGCUUGACGUUGCCAGAGAACAAUACCUCUCCACCACCGUUGAACUCGACGCCGCAAAGCAACAGCUCAACAAAAUCAGACAGAGCUUUGAUUCCGCCAUGGACUUGAAAGCCACGGCACUAAACCAAGCCGCUGAAGCGAAACGUGCGCUGCAAGUAAACUCAGCUAAGGUCAGCGAGCUUUCCAAAGAGAUUGGUGAUAUGAAAGACGCGAUUCAUCAGCUCAAGCUAGCCGCCACUCAGAAUCUUGAAGAGUAUGCUAAUAUCGUUAAGGAGAAAGAUGACUUAAGAGAAUGUUACAAGACGGCGGUUGAGGAGGCAGAGAAGAAGCUACUAGUGUUGAGGAAAGAGUAUCACCCUGAGCUCUCAAGGAAUCUUGAAGCCAAACUGAUCGAAACAACUUCGGAGAUUGAGGUUUUGAGAGAAGAGAUGAAGAAGGCUCAUGAAUCUGAGAUGAACACGGUUAAAAUCAUUACAAACGAGCUUAACGAAGCUACAAUGAAACUCCAAGAAGCUGCUGAUGAGGAAGGCUCUCUAAGAAGCGUGGUGAAUUCUCUAAGGAUGGAGCUUGAAGAGAUGAGAAGAGAGCGCGAAGAGCUGCAGCAGAGAGAAGCAGAGAGGUUGGAGGAUGAGGAGAGGAAGAAAGUGGAAGCUCUCAAGGAAGAGAGCCUGAAACUCGAGGAGAUGAAACAAGAAGCUUUGGUAGCAAGAAACGAAGCUGAAGAGAUGAAUAGAAAGAUAGGGAGCUUGAAGAAAGAAACCGAUUCCGCGAUGGUAGCUGCGGAGGAAGCUGAGAAGAGACUAGAGCUUGUUAUAAGUAAAGUGGAAGAGGCUAAAGCAGCUGAGGAGAAGGUUCGGGAGGAGAUGAAGAUGAUAUCUCAGAAGCAAGAGAGCAAGAAACAGGACGAAGAAUCGUCCGGUUCGAAGAUAAAGAUCACAGUGCAGGAGUUUGAGUCUUUGAAACGAGGAGCAGGGGAGACAGAGACAGCGAUAGAGAAGAAGUUGGCAGGUAUAGCAGCUGAGCUUGAAGAGAUGAAUACAAGAAAAGCAGAAGCGGAUAACAAGCUUGGAGCAAGUCUUAAAGCUAUAGAGGAGAUGAAGCACGCGACGGACUUGGCUCAGAAGGCAGCGGACUCAGCAGAAGCUGCAAAGAGCGUGGUGGAAAGUGAGUUGAAGAGAUGGCGUCAAAAAGAAAAUGUACAACAUGCUUAGCGUCUUUCUUUGGUUCUGUAUAAAAAACAUUUGUUUUAUUCCAAAAUAAAAAUUAUAAAGGUGAAGUUCAACAUCACAUGAACAACAACACAUAGAUAGAUCUCAAUCAUUUAGUAAAGGCAUCACCUAAAUAUCUGAGAGGGAAUCACUAAUCAGCUUCUGUCUCAAGAAAUCUUCAUUAAGUAAACAAAAUAUCAAGGUGUAAUCAUAAGUUUAAGCGACGUCGUUUUACUUAGUCGACAUUAAAAACAAAUUAAAAUCACGUAAACAACGACACGACACAAAAUUUAAAUUGAACCGGAAUUAUUUACCUAACCGGUUUUCUUUGUUCGUUCUCUUAUCCGAAAAUUUCGAGACCUCGGUCGGACAAAUCUAUCUCGGUGUGUCCUAAGACUAAGAGGAGGACGAUUCAACUGAAGCAGCGAUGAUGUUGAGGACACAGAGAUGGGAGCAUCUUACUACUUUGAGAUCGGUUCGUUCCCAUUCAAUUCAGACAGGUACUCUGAGAAAUGCUUACGAGUUCUUCUGCGAACGAGGCUUUUCUAGCGGUCUCACCAGCGAUAGAAAUCUCUCUUACAAAGAGAAACUGAGAAGUGGGAUUGUUGGAAUCAAGAAAGAUGAUGCUGGAGGACUAUGUAAGAAAGGGUCGCUGUCUGAAGCGAGACUGUUGCUUAGGAAGAUGGAAGAGGAUGGGAUUGCGCCAGAUAGUGGUCCAUACAACACUCUCAUCAGGGCACAUCUCCGAGAUGGUGACGUAAGCAUUUCAGUUGAACUCAUCGAAGAAAUGAAGAGGUGUGGCUUCUCUGCAGAUGCUUCCACUGUAAAGAUAGUUAUGGAUAUGUUAUCGGAUGGGAGAUUGGACAGAAGCUUUCUAGACAUGCUUUCUUAAAUGCCUCAUCCAACUAAGUGCCGGAUGAUGAUAUAUACGGAAAAUAUUUUCUCAGAAUCUGAACCUCUAGAGAAUGCUCCAUGACUCCAAAUUCUCUCGUUCAGUCAAGUCGGUCUCCACUGAUCUUAUUUUGCAGAUCUUUCUCAUCAGCUACCCUUUGAAUGCUAAUUGGUCACGAAGAACUAGCCGAGAAACUUGGAUACUAAGAUGCUCCGAUAUGAUUGAAAUUUACAACAUGAAACAUAACAAUAGGAUUGAUGUGAUGAGUUAGAAGAAACGGCGUCAAAAAGAAAAUGUACAACGUGCUUAGUGCUUUUAUUCAAUCUGUAUAAAACAUUGUUUGUUUUAUUCCAAUAUAAUAAGUAUAACGACAA